rnacentral:rRNA from 1 species
UACGGAGGGUCCGAGCGUUGUCCGGAAUUAUUGGGCGUAAAGGGCUCGUAGGCGGUUUGUCGCGUCGGGAGUGAAAACUCAGGGCUCAACCCUGAGCGUGCUUCCGAUACGGGCAGACUAGAGGUAUUCAGGGGAGAACGGAAUUCCUGGUGUAGCGGUGGAAUGCGCAGAUAUCAGGAGGAACACCGGUGGCGAAGGCGGUUCUCUGGGAAUUACCUGACGCUGAGGAGCGAAAGCAUGGGGAGCGAACAGG